rnacentral:lncRNA from 1 species
ACUCGACGCCGCUGGACCGACCCCUUAAAGAACCCCCACCCAUUUUUUCCAAAUCCCCGGGGUCCCUCUCGUCCUCUCAUCUUCCUUCCCCGCUCCAAACGGUUCUUCCCAUCUCCUUUUCCCCUUUCCCCGCAAUUAUUCCUUAAAGGGCCAAGACACUAAAACCCCAAACUCAAGAAGUCCUUCCUCAACCCCAUUGCAGGGGCAACCUGAGGUCACCCCGUUCUUGCGAGCCGGCCCGGCUCCAGGCGUCUAGGUUCGUCCCACUAAUGGUCUGGUCCCUCCGGCCACAGGGCGGAUGAGAGGGUUUCGAUCCAACCCAGGACGCGCCUUCGCCAAGGCCAGGUCCAUUAACUCCCGCACCGCAUCCUGCCUUCCCUCCCCCAGAGUCUCCGCUGGGAAACUGAAGACAGGCCGUCCUUGGGGCGCCAGGCCCAGGCCUUUCCCCAGCUGCCUUCCAGUUCGCGCCUGCAUCUGCCCAUUUUCCAGUUUAACCUGGUUUCAUUCUCAGUACUGCCCCUGAGAUUCCGACUCCGCCCCUCCCCCAGACAUCUGGGCCAUCUGGGCCCUGGAGAAGGGAAGUCUGUCACCUCUCCCAUAAAAGUCUGUUCACACCUUGUAAAUCCCUUUGAGGUGCUGGAAUGAAAGAGGAGAGGAGGCACUGGGGAUUCCCACUCCCAUUCUCUCCGGGCUUUGGCGCUUUCUCUGCAGCCUCAGACAAGGCUGGGCGUCUUGCAGGGGGGCCCUUGGGUAUACGUUCCCCUUACACAGAGCACCCAGGCUCCCAGAACAGAGAGAUACAGCUGAGCCCAGGAGGAGAGCCUUGGGAGCCCACACUGGGACUGAUGUCUCUGCUGAGACCUGGCCCCACCUGCUGGUGGCUUCUGAGCUAGAAAAUGUCUGAUUGCAGUUGGGCAAUUGAACCCAGUGAGUUCUGUGGCUAGUCUCAAAUGGGGGCUCAGCCUAGCAAAGUUCUGAGUUCACCUCUGCUCAGAGACUCAAACUGGAAUUGGGGUUCAGUCCAGGUCAGCACCACCGUGGGGAUAGGGGAUAGAGGCCAGAGGCUUAACCAGAAGGAUUAGCAACCCGGUAAGGGGUCAGGUCCAAUCUGGAGUCAGGGCUAGUCCAGAUCGGUGGCCUAAACCAGAGAUUAAGCCUCAGUGUGUGGUGUGGGGGACGAGGGGGUGUCAGAGUUUCAGGCUGAAGUUAGGACUCAACUUGCAGAGAGGGAGUUCACCUGGGGUCAGAGUUCAGCCCGGAGUCCGGUCUAGCCUGGAAUCUGGGGGUGGGGCUCCAAUUGCCUCACUCUGGAAUAAAAGGCUUAGCCUAAGGCUGGGGUCUCAGCCUGGGGUCAUAGGUCAUCCUAGGGUCAAACUUUAACCUGAGGCCAGCUUUAGGCCUCUCUGUGGACCAGGAAGAUUAGGAAAACAGGUCAGGCCUGAACAGAUGCGUGUGUUUACCAAAAGCCUCAGCUCUGGCUGGGAGCCACAUCCCUGGCUCAAGAAGAGGAAGU